UAAAAAUUAGUUAAUAUAUAACAUAAGUUUGUCAAACUUAAAUAAUCUUGCGAUAUUUUUAU
rnacentral:tRNA from 1 species